GCCCGAAUGGCUCAGUCGGUAGAGCAUCAGACUUUGAAUCUGAACACCUUAGGUUCAAGUCCCUGUUCGGGUG